GGGUAAAGUCUGAUUAAGUGUAUGAGUGCCAAAUAUGGCUGAUGUUGCUAGGACCAUUAUCAUGGUUCAGUGAGAGAUUUUUUUUUUUAUGAUUUCUGUAGUUUCUAAACAAUCUCUUUCAUUUUUAGUUUUGGGUUGGUGUUGGAGAAGAAUUUCAUUCCAAAGUAUUUUGUAACCUGUUUCAAAUUGAUGAUAUGUUAAAGCAGAUAUCUUUAAUUCACCUGUAUGCAUGUGACCUUGAUGUUGUGUCUUAUUUCUAAGGAAUGUGACAUUUGUCCAAUGUAUUUAAUUUCACAAUCGAUACUGUAUUUGCCUUUUGUUCCUAUAUUGGGGAUUCUUUCAGGUUAGGUUAACAGUUAACAUGUUUUAUGUUGUUGAUAGGUGAAAGGUUAAGAGUUAACAUGUUUUAUGUUGUUGAUAGAUGAAAGGUUAGGAGUUAACAUGUUUUAUGUUGUUGAUAGGUGAAAGGUUAAGAGUUAACAUGUUUUAUGUUGUUGAUAGAUGAAAGGUUAGGAGUUAACAUGUUUUGUGUUGUUGAUA